rnacentral:rRNA from 1 species
UACGUAGGGUGCGAGCGUUAAUCGGAAUUACUGGGCGUAAAGCGUACGCAGGCGGCUCUGUAAGACAGAUGUGAAAUCCCCGGGCUUAACCUGGGAACUGCAUUUGUGACUGCAGAGCUAGAGUUUGUCAGAGGGGGGUGGAAUUCCACGUGUAGCAGUGAAAUGCGUAGAGAUGUGGAGGAACACCGAUGGCGAAGGCAGCCCCCUGGGAUAUGACUGACGCUCAUGUACGAAAGCGUGGGGAGCAAACAGGAUUAGAAACCCGAGUAGUCC